rnacentral:rRNA from 1 species
AUGCCCCUCCUGCUCCGACGCCUCGCCGGCGCCGUCGCGGCCCCCCUCCGCCGCUCUCUCUGCACGGCGGCCCCGCGCCCUCCCUGGGCCAUGGUGAACAGCCAGGCGGCGCUGGACGCGUCAGGGGCGCCGUCGCGGGGCGCGCGCGCGCUCGUCGACCUCGACACCACCCCGUGCGUCUCCCGCCUCUCCGUCCCCGCUCGCCUCGUCGACCCCCACGGCGACAUGGGUCCCCUCGUGGGCAUCGUCCGCAGCGCCAGCUGCGACGGUCUCCUCCUCCUCGACUUCGUCGACGCCCGCCCGCGCCCCAUAUGGCCACACGAACUCGCCGCGGACCGCGGCGGCGUGGAACCGGACGCCAAGCUCUUCGUCUGCAACCCUCUCAGCGGCCAGCUGGUUCGCCUCCCGGCCCCCGGCAUGGACGUCCCCAAGAUGAGCACCUCCUUCGGCCUGCUCACCCAAUCCCAAGGCCCCCACGGCCCGCCGGAUAGGUACGUGGUCGCUCAGCUCAGCAAAAGCAGUCGCGGGGGAGGGGAGUGCCGCAGGGUCGUUCGCCGGUUUCUGUCCGAGACAGGGGAGUGGGACGAGCGGCCGCUGGUCGGGGUGGUCGAGAUGGAGGCUGCGCGCAGCAUGCUCAUCAACCAUGAGGUGCUAGCGUUGGGCGACCGGCUGUGGUGGGUGGACGUGGCCUGGGGUGCCUGCUCCGUCGACCCCUUCAGCGACCGGCCGGAGCGCCGCUUCGCCGAGCUGCCGCGUUGCAGCGUGCUGCCUGCUUCCGAUUCCCCGAUGCUUCCGACGCUGAGCAGGUACCGGCACAUGGGGGUCAGCGAGGGGAAGCUGCGCUACGUCCAAGUGUCCAACAGAGACGACAGGUCGUGCGUGAUCCUUUCAUUCUCGCUGGAUGACGAGACCUACAGCUGGGCGCUGGAUCAUUCAGCUCAAAUUACAGAUCGGGGCGACCGCUGCCAUGUUCACAUUGCUGCCAUAGAUCCAUUCAAAGCCAACCUUGUGUACCUCCAGCAUAGUGGCACUGUCAUUGCCAUGGACCUGGCUAAGAAAAAGGAGAUUUGGAGGAGUUCCCUUCCACAAGAAAUCUUCUUUGAAAGUUUGCUCCGUGGCAGUUCUCUUGUUCCGUGCGCGCUCCCAACAUGGCUUGCCACAAGCCAGAUCCCCUCUUCUGCAGGAACCCUUUCAACAAGCAACAAGGCCGAUUGCAAAAAGAAGACCUUGGCAGACAUGCUGGUUCGCGUAGACAGCUAA